GCCUGGAUAGCUCAGUUGGUUAGAGUGUGGCGCUGAUAAUGCCAAGGUUGUGGGUUUGAUCCCCAUAUGAGGCA